rnacentral:rRNA from 1 species
AACGCAAGUUGCGCCCGAAGCCUUCUGGCCGAGGGCACGUCUGCCUGGGCGUCAUGCAUCGCGUCGCCACCCCACCCACCCUAACCCGGUGGGGCGAGGGGGCGCAAUGUGGCCCUCCGUGCACCCGGAUGCG